rnacentral:rRNA from 1 species
AACGAACGCUGGCGGCAUGCCUAACACAUGCAAGUCGAACGAGACCUUCGGGUCUAGUGGCGCACGGGUGCGUAACGCGUGGGAAUCUGCCCUUGGGUUCGGAAUAACAGUGAGAAAUUACUGCUAAUACCGUAUGAUGUCUUCGGACCAAAGAUUUAUCGCCCAGGGAUGAGCCCGCGUAGGAUUAGCUAGUUGGUGGGGUAAUGGCCUACCAAGGCGACGAUCCUUAGCUGGUCUGAGAGGAUGAUCAGCCACACUGGGACUGAGACACGGCCCAGACUCCUACGGGAGGCAGCAGUGGGGAAUAUUGGACAAUGGGCGCAAGCCUGAUCCAGCAAUGCCGCGUGAGUGAUGAAGGCCUUAGGGUUGUAAAGCUCUUUUACCCGGGAUGAUAAUGACAGUACCGGGAGAAUAAGCUCCGGCUAACUCCGUG